UAUAACAUUCCCUUUGUCCUUCGGUAUGUUACUUGGCCGAUAUUUGAUCGUUAGUAUCUCUAUACUUAUUUCAAUCUCGUUACCGGCAAGUCUCUUUACUCGUUCCGUAAUACAAGAUCUCGUGACUAACACUUGAGUCACAUUGCUUGCAAGGCUUAUACGUGAUGUUGUAUUACCGAGUGGGCCCCGAGAUACCUCACUGUUACAUGGAGUGACAAACCUCAGUCUUGAUCCAUGCUAACUCAACGGACACCUUCGGAGUUACAUGUAGAGCACCUUUAUAGUCACCCAAUAACGUUGUGAUGUUUGAUAAAUACAAGGUAUUCCUCCGGUGUGAGUGAGUUACAUGAUCUCAUGG
rnacentral:lncRNA from 1 species